CUCCUCUCUUCUUUAACUUUGAAAUCUUCUAACCCUAAAUUCUGCAGCCACCAAUCAAAUUUUCUUGCUUUCAUUUCCUAUGCUCGUAGAUUAUUUUUUCCAUCGACGAUUUGAAGAUUUACUAUGGUCGGUAAAGGAGAAGGUCCGGCGAUCGGAAUCGAUCUUGGAACCAAGUACUCUUGCGGAAUGGAAAUGGCCGAAAUGGAAAUGGAAAUGGAGGAAUGCUCCUUUGUUGUCUCUUCAGACCCUCACAGGUACUGCCUCUAUUAAAGGACAAGGUUUAGAAUUAUAAUAGUAUGUUUUUCUUUUUCUUGUGGACUACUUGGAAUGCACUAAACAACUCUUCCAUUGAGAUGAAAAUGGAUUGAUAUAGUACAUCUUGAAAUAUUUGCAGUUAAUGAACCUGUUUGGGGUUUUGGGUUUUUUUUUAUUCGCUCGGGAUUUUUCCUUAUUCUUCUUCUUGGGUUUCGUCGUUGUUGACGAACAGGGGAUUUUUCUUCCUCUUCUUACGCAGAGAAAAAAUCUGGGUGGAUGAAAUGGUUGAGCAGAAUUUUCCGGUCAGGAGGAAACAGAGGAGGUGGCGGCGGUGGAGGUGGCCGUCAUCCGCAACAACUUCUUGGUGAUCAGGAGAACAUGGUCUGGCGAGCUCCGGCUAGAUCAUCGCUUUGUUUCCUGAGCAAGUUUCAUCAGUUCGGGUUCUCCAGAUAGGUGGCAAUUUAGCUGUUUGCCCAGAGGAUAUGUUUGUCAUAUACAUUUCUACCUUAUGUGAUAAUGCUAAUCAAGGGAAGGAGAUGGUUCGUGAAGCUAUGAAUGCAAUCAUGUCGCUCUUUGUUUCUGAUUGUCCUGAUUCUAGUUCUGUAGAUCAAGAUACCAAUGCAGAAGGUAAAGAAUUGGACCUACUUUGGAGUGCACUAUACGUUCAGGAAUCAAGUGUGAUAAUUGAAGUCAUAUCGGGUUGAAAGCUAAGCGAUUGUGCAGAGAUUGCCAAGCGACCGUUGAAAAUUGAAGAAUGAGAAGGCAUUUAGGAUUUUUAAUUAUUUAAUUCUUGUAUUAGAAUAUUUUUCAUGUACUAUUGUAGAAUGUAUAUACAUAAUAUUAAGAUUUUAUUUUGUGUAUAAAAGACAAAUAUUAUAGUUUCUAACAUAAUAUGAAUUUCAUUGA